GACGAACGCUGGCGGCGUGCUUAACACAUGCAAGUCGAACGGAAAGGCCCUGCUUUUGUGGGGUUCUCGAGUGGCGAACGGGUGAGUAACACGUGAGUAACCUGCCCUUGACUUUGGGAUAACUUCAGGAAACUGGGGCUAAUACCGGAUAGGAGCUCCUGCUGCAUGGUGGGGGUUGGAAAGUUUCGGCGGUUGGGGAUGGACUCGCGGCUUAUCAGCUUGUUGGUGGGGUAGUGGCUUACCAAGGCUUUGACGGGUAGCCGGCCUGAGAGGGUGACCGGCCACAUUGGGACUGAGAUACGGCCCAGACUCCUACGGGAGGCAGCAGUGGGGAAUAUUGCACAGUGGGCGGAAGCGUGAUACAGAAACGCCGCGUGCGGGAUGACGGCCUUCGGGUUGUAAACCGCUUUCGCCUGUGACGAAGCGUGAGUGACGGUAAUGGGUAAAGAAGCACCGGCUAACUACGUG
rnacentral:rRNA from 1 species